rnacentral:tRNA from 1 species
GUGGGAUUAGCUACGUUGGUUAUAGCGCCAGGUUGUGGCCCUGGAGGCCGUGGGUUCGAAUCCCAUAUCUCACCCCA